GACGAACGCUGGCGGCGUGCCUAAUACAUGCAAGUCGAGCGGAUGAAAGAGGAGCUUGCUCCUCUAGAUUCAGCGGCGGACGGGUGAGUAACACGUGGGCAACCUGCCCUGUAGAUUGGGAUAACUCCGGGAAACCGGGGCUAAUACCGCAUAAUCCUUCGGACCUCAUGGUCCGAUGUUGAAAGACGGUUUCGGCUGUCACUACAGGAUGGGCCCGCGGCGCAUUAGCUAGUUGGUGAGGUAACGGCUCACCAAGGCCACGAUGCGUAGCCGACCUGAGAGGGUGAUCGGCCACACUGGGACUGAGACACGGCCCAGACUCCUACGGGAGGCAGCAGUAGGGAAUCUUCCACAAUGGACGAAAGUCUGAUGGAGCAACGCCGCGUGAGUGAAGAAGGUUCUCGGAUCGUAAAACUCUGUUGUGAGGGAAGAACAAGUACCGGAGUAACUGCCGGUGCCUUGACGGUACCUCAUUAGAAAGCCACGGCUAACUACGUGCCAGCCGCCGCAGUAAGAC
rnacentral:rRNA from 1 species